GGGGAAUAUUGCGCAAUGGGGGCAACCCUGACGCAGCCAUGCCGCGUGAAUGAAGAAGGCCUUCGGGUUGUAAAGUUCUUUCGGUAGCGAGGAAGGCAUUUAGUUUAAUAGACUAGGUGAUUGACGUUAACUACAGAAGAAGCACCGGCUAACUCCGUGCCAGCAGCCGCGGUAAUACGGAGGGUGCGAGCGUUAAUCGGAAUAACUGGGCGUAAAGGGCACGCAGGCGGUUAUUUAAGUGAGGUGUGAAAGCCCCGGGCUUAACCUGGGAAUUGCAUUUCAGACUGGGUAACUAGAGUACUUUAGGGAGGGGUAGAAUUCCACGUGUAGCGGUGAAAUGCGUAGAGAUGUGGAGGAAUACCGAAGGCGAAGGCAGCCCCUUGGGAAUGUACUGACGCUCAUGUGCGAAAGCGUGGGGAGCAAACAGGAUUAGAUACCCUGGUAGUCCACGCUGUAAACGCUGUCGAUUUGGGGAUUGGGCUUAAAGCUUGGUGCCCGUAGCUAACGUGAUAAAUCGACCGCCUGGGGAGUACGGCCGCAAGGUUA
rnacentral:rRNA from 1 species